rnacentral:rRNA from 1 species
UACAGAGGUCCCAAGCGUUGUUCGGAUUCACUGGGCGUAAAGGGUGCGUAGGCGGUCGGGUAAGUCUGAUGUGAAAUCUCACAGCUUAACUGUGAAACUGCAUUGGAUACUAUCCGGCUCGAGGAAUGGAGGGGAGACUGGAAUACUUGGUGUAGCAGUGAAAUGCGUAGAUAUCAAGUGGAACACCAGUGGCGAAGGCGGCCGGCUGGGGGCGCCCUGACGCUGAGGCGCGAGAGCGUGGGGAGCAAACCGG